UGCUAUGAGAUGAGCCUGCGUCGGAUUAGCUAGUUGGUAGGGUAAUGGCCUACCAAGGCGACGAUCCGUAGCUGGUCUGAGAGGACGAUCAGCCACACUGGGACUGAGACACGGCCCAGACUCCUACGGGAGGCAGCAGUGGGGAAUAUUGGACAAUGGGGGAAACCCUGAUCCAGCAAUGCCGCGUGUGUGAAGAAGGCCUUCGGGUUGUAAAGCACUUUCAGUGGGGAAGAAAUUCUCAAGGCUAAUACCCUUUUGAGCGUUGACGUUACCCACAGAAGAAGCACUGGCUAACUCUGUGCCAGCAGCCGCGGUAAUACAGAGAGUGCAAGCGUUAAUCGGAAUCACUGGGCGUAAAGCGCGCGUAGGUGGAUAUUUAAGUCGGAUGUGAAAGCCCUAGGCUUAACCUGGGAAUUACAUCCGAUACUAGGUAUCUCGAGUAUGAUAGAGGGAAGUGGAAUUUCCGGUGUAGCGGUGAAAUGCGUAGAUAUCGGAAAGAACAUCAGUGGCGAAGGCGGCUUCCUGGAGCAAUACUGACACUGAGGCGCGAAAGCGUGGGGAGCAAACAGGAUUAGAGACCCUGGUAGUCCACGCCGUCAACGAUGAGAACUAGCUGUUGGAAAGUUUAAUUUCUAGUAGCAAAGCUAACGCGUUAAGUUCUCCGCCUGGGGAGUACGGCCGCAAGGUUAAAACUCAAAGAAAUUGACGGGGGCCCGCACAAGCGGUGGAGCAUGUGGUUUAAUUCGAUGCAACGCGAAAAACCUUACCUACCCUUGACAUCCUCGGAACUUGUCAGAAAUGACUUGGUGCCUUUGGGAACCGAGUGACAGGUGCUGCAUGGCUGUCGUCAGCUCGUGUCGUGAGAUGUUGGGUUAAGUCCCGUAACGAGCGCAACCCUCGUCCUUAGUUGCCAGCGGUUCGGCCGGGAACUCUAAGGAGACUGCCGGUGAUAAACCGGAGGAAGGUGAGGAUGAUGUCAAGUCAUCAUGGCCCUUACGGGUAGGGCUACACACGUGCUACAAUGGGCAGUACAAAGGGUUGCCAAACCGUGAGGUAAAGCUAAUCCCAAAAAGCUGCUAGUAGUCCGGAUUGGAGUCUGCAACUCGACUCCAUGAAGUUGGACUCGCUAGUAAUCGCGAAUCAGAAUGUCGCGGUGAAUACGUUCUAGGGC
rnacentral:rRNA from 1 species